rnacentral:rRNA from 1 species
CAUAACUCUGGGAUAACCUCCGGAAACGGUGGCUAAUACUGGAUAUCUAACAUGAUCGCAUGGUCUGUGUUUGGAAAGAUUUUUUGGUUAUGGAUCGGCUCACGGCCUAUCAGCUUGUUGGUGAGGUAAUGGCUCACCAAGGCGACGACGGGUAGCCGGCCUGAGAGGGUGACCGGCCACACUGGGACUGAGACACGGCCCAGACUCCUACGGGAGGCAGCAGUGGGGAAUAUUGCACAAUGGGCGAAAGCCUGAUGCAGCAACGCCGCGUGAGGGAUGACGGCCUUCGGGUUGUAAACCUCUUUUAGUAGGGAAGAAGCGAAAGUGACGGUACCUGCAGAAAAAGCACCGGCUAACUACGUGCCAGCAGCCGCGGUAAUACGUAGGGUGCAAGCGUUGUCCGGAAUUAUUGGGCGUAAAGAGCUCGUAGGCGGUUUGUCGCGUCUGCUGUGAAAUCCCGAGGCUCAACCUCGGGUCUGCAGUGGGUACGGGCAGACUAGAGUGUGGUAGGGGAGAUUGGAAUUCCUGGUGUAGCGGUGGAAUGCGCAGAUAUCAGGAGGAACACCGAUGGCGAAGGCAGAUCUCUGGGCCAUUACUGACG